CAUAAUAGAAUUGAGACAUA
rnacentral:siRNA from 1 species